ACCGCGAUAGCUUGGCUGGCAGAACAUCUGCCUGGUUUGCGGAGGGUCGCCGGUUCGAUUCCGGCUCGCGGCG
rnacentral:tRNA from 1 species